rnacentral:rRNA from 1 species
UCAGGAUGAACGCUAGCUACAGGCUUAACACAUGCAAGUCGAGGGGCAGCAUUGGGAUAGCUGCUAUUCAGAUGGCGACCGGCGCACGGGUGAGUAACGCGUAUCCAACCUUCCUGCCAGUAGGGAACAGCCCGGCGAAAGUCGGAUUAAUGCCCUAUGUUCUUCAAUGCGGACAUCUAAGUUGAAGGAAAGAUUCAUCGCUGGCAGAUGGGGAUGCGUCCGAUUAGCUUGCCGGCGGGGUAACGGCCCACCGGGGCGACGAUCGGUAGGGGUUCUGAGAGGAAGGUCCCCCACACUGGUACUGAGACACGGACCAGACUCCUACGGGAGGCAGCAGUGAGGAAUAUUGGUCAAUGGGCGUAAGCCUGAACCAGCCAAGUAGCGUGCAAGGAUGACGGCCCUACGGGUUGUAAACUGCUUUUAUGCGGGGAUAAAGUGCGGCACGUGUGCCGCUUUGCAGGUACCGCAUGAAUAAGGACCGGCUAAUUCCGUGCCAGCCGCCGC